AUUGAACGCUGGCGGCAGGCCUAACACAUGCAAGUCGAGCGGAGCGGCCGACGGGUGGGUAAUGCCUAGGAAUCUGCCUGGUAGUGGGGGAUAACUUCCGGAAACGGACGCUAAUACCGCAUACUAUCAGAUGAGCCUAGGUCGGAUUAGCUAGUUGGUGGGGUAAAGGCUUACCAAGGCGACGAUCCGUAACUGGUCUGAGAGGAUGAUCAGUCACACUGGAACUGAGACACGGUCCAGACUCCUACGGGAGGCAGCAGUGGGGAAUAUUGGACAAUGGGCGCAAGCCUGAGCCAGCCAUGCCGCGUGUGUGAAGAAGGUCUUCGGAUUGUAAAGCACUUUAAGUUGGGAGGCGUUACCAGCAGAAUAAGCACCGGCUAACUUCGUGCCAGCAGCCGCGGUAAUUC
rnacentral:rRNA from 1 species